GCUCAUUAUAACACGCAAUAGCAGAAAACCGUACACGGGCCAUCGGCCACGUUGAGUUAUGAUUGAUGGUGACACAAUAAUUUUGUGGGCUGCCGUUUAUCACAACCAAUGACAGUGCAAAGAGUCAGUCAAUCACGCCGGUGAAUUCGAGUUGACCAUGAGCGCAGGGAUGAAACGGUAUAUGGUUUUUUUUGCACAAUAUUCUUUUUAGCCUCGCUCUGAAAACAGAGUGCCGACAGUUUGGACAGCUGACAAAUGACGGUCGGGCUCGUGAAGGCGUGAAAUUAAAUCGGACAGCAGAGAAAACACGGCCUUAAACAUGAAUCUGUCGGUGACCACACUGCUGGCUUAUCGACCGAUAAUAUUGUUAAAUACUUAUUACAUAAAUCACACUUCACGACAUAUGGCUUAUGUAUUAGAAAGAGCACGAUUUCUGUCCUCUUAGUUAGUCUCAAAUUACGAUGUUAGUCUUCAAGUCAUUGUACGCUCGAGUUUCUGCUAGAGUUAAUAAAGAGAAUUUUGUAUGAUGUAAAAUUAUUAAA